rnacentral:lncRNA from 1 species
CAUUCUGGAAAACACACCACCCAACCCCCCAAGGUGCCUGAGUUUAUGUAAAAAGAGAGAUUGUCUUCGCUGUCAAGGUUUCCUGCCUCUCACUUCACUCCCACAGCUAUGUGUGUGAAUAUUCAGAAGCAAGGUUGGAGCUGAUUUGGAGUGAUGACUCUAAAGAAGAGAUAAGUUGCGUUGAUCCU